CUGAGCUAUAGGCUCCCAUCACAGCAUGCAAGAUCUCUGAAGGAAGACUGAACUCAGAGGAAUCAUGUGGCAACUCUCUGGCUGACCAAGUUGUCCAAGAAGUUGUAAGUGCACUAAGGGAAGUGGACAGAAGUGUCCGGUAAGGAAAUUCCUAUUUUUCCCAUGCAAACCUUACCUACAGACAUCAAGCUCCUGAAGGAAUAACAAGCAGCUACUGACCCUGGAAAGAAAAAAAAAAACACAAGCUGGAAACAGAAAGGGGCAACCCUUAAAGACAGGCUGUACUUCAACAAUCUGAAGUUCUGCUUGCCCAAGAACAUAUACUCAGCAGUGGUCCAGUGGGCCUACGGAGCAUCUGUCCAGAACCCUCAUGAACUCUUUUGAUCAAUAAAUACUCUGAUGUACCAGGAAUUGCCUCUCUGACCAACAGUUACUGUAAAUCUUGUGCCAUUUGUGCCAAGGGCAACUCAGGAAGAAUGGAGGAAAGCCCCAAGCAUCUAGCCAAACCUCAUUAUCUCAUCCAGAGGAGUCAAGUCGACUACAUCCAGAAUGCCAAAGAGUGGCUGAUUCAAAUAUGCACUAAUUAUAGCAGA